GUGGUCGUGUGUGGCCGAGUGGUUAAGGCGAGGACUAGAAAUCCAUUGAUCUUCCCGCGUAGGUCUUCGAAUCCUACCGACUACG